GCCCGCGGUCGGGAAGGCGGGGACCGUGCUGAGCCAACUGCGCCUGCGCAGUAGCACCGAGAGGAGAACAAAGGCUAGAUAGAGGGGACCCGUGAGCGGCUGCUCGUUGUUGCCGCCUUCCCUCAGGUUCGGAAUGUAGGCGAGAAUAGAACGUUGUCAUAGAACCAAGAAACCAUAGAGUCUCACAGCCAAACGGAGUGGUAGAGAGCCUAUCGCCCUACGGGUUCAGUUUUGAAUGGAGGAAAAAGGAAAGAUUCCACACGCAGUUAGCAGCAACAGCAUAAAACAGGCAAUAACUGUAGUAAGAAAGAUCAAGAAAUUAUUUGAAAACUGAGAAUAAAAUUAAACUUGGAAAGGCGGAGAGGCUCACCGUUGUCCUGAGUAAAAAAAGAGUGACUUUUGUAAAAAUGACAGUUCUUCCAAGUUAAAUAAAUUGAUUUUACUCGGCCAACCCACAGUCUGUCUGGGAACAAUGGUAUGAAGAAUGGAAAUGGAUUCUGAAGGAAGAAUGUGAAAACGACCCUGAUUCUUCAGGUAACAUCUACAGGUUCCAGGCUGCCCUUUAACCCAGAGAUCCACCUGUCUCUGCUUACCCAGUACCAACUACUGGGAUAUUGUGGAUAUAAGCAUGUUUCUGUUUUGGUCCCAGGUGUGGGAUGUGGACUGAUUCACCUGGUCCACAGCAGCAGACUAUUUGCUUCAUGUGGAUUUUGAGAGGGGCUCUUUGCCAGCUGCAGAUAGUUUGAAUCUAAAGACUCCAUUGAGAGAAUAAAUGUCAGCACCCAGAGAGUGGAAUGACAAGAAAGAACAAUGCUGGUCUUGCUUCCCUGGUUGUGAAACAAAAAGUUGAAGAUCUCUUGAAAUGAGGAAUAGACUGGCUCCAAAGAACCCCACACCCUAACCAGUAGGAAGCAGCUAAGACAGAACUACAUGCCCUCUCCCACUAACCCUUUCUCUAUCCUACCUGGUGUUGUGCUAAUGGAAGGGAUUGGGAUGGAGUAGGGAGAAAAAGAUAAAAGAAACACAAUUAAAGAUUUUUUAAAUUAAAUUUUUAUUUUUCAUAUAUAAUUUUAGUUUAUUCACUUUGUAUCCCAGCUGUAGCCCCCUCCUUUAUCCCCUCCUAAUUACACCUCCCUCUCUCAUCUCCUCCUAUGCCCCUAUUGCAAGUCCACGGAUAGGGAAGGUCCUCUUCCCCUUCCAUUAAAAGAGUUUUUAAGAAGUCCUCCAACACUGGGAUUAAACAUGAGUGUUACCAUGGCUGGCUUUUGAUUAAUGGUUAAAAAGAAAAGAAAAGCCAGACCAUUAUCAAACUCAGAAAUCCCAGUUAAUUGUAUUCUUAAUAUUUUCUAUUGAAGUUCUUUUGAAAAAUCUAAAAAGAAUUGCAAUAUACUGUAGUUAAUAAAGGGGAAAAUAAUAUAAUUGCCAUCUUAGAUGCAGAAGACUUCAAUAAAGUUAAGAUUAAAUUCUCACGACUCUUUGUAAAAGCUCAGGUUAUAAUUUUGAUGUUAAAUAUCUCCCAAAGGCCCAGAUGCUAAAGACUUGGUCGUCAUCUUGUGGUGGAACUUUUUGAGGUGAGACUUGGGAUGGUGACUCUUGGCUGUCAACUUGCCAGGAUUUAGAACCACCUAGAAAUCACACCUCUAAGCAUUUGUUAAGUGUUUCCAAAAAGGUUUAAGGUAAGUAAAAAGAUCAACUUCAAGCAGCAUCCUUCCUUAGGCUGGUGUCCCUGACUGAAGAAAACAGGUGAAGUCUAAGCUUUCACCUCUGCAUCUUGACUGCUGCCCCAUGGUGCUCCUGCUGCGAUGCAGUCUCUGUGGACUGUGACCAUAGACCAUGUCCCCAAAGAAACCCUUCCUUGCUUCUUUCAGUUACUUCGGGCAGGUGUUUUGUUAAAACAUUAAGAACAGUAACUGGGGGGCUGAAGAGAUGGCUUAGUGGUUAAGAGCACUGGCUGCUCUUCCAGAGGACCCGGCUUCAACUCCCAGCACCCACAUGACAAACAAGAAAUAGAGGAGAAUCUUUCAUCUAAUAGAGAAUUUGAAAAACAACUAGGUGUUGUUAUGGAGCACAUACAUUGUACUGCCAGCCCUUGGGAGUCUAACCCGAAAGGAUUGGUAUCGGUUCAGGAAACUCUCAGCUCAAAGGAGAUUUAUUUGCCCCAGAGGGACAAAGUUCAGGGAAUAAGAGACCAAGACAGAGCUGGGCAUGGUGCUACAUGCCUUUGAUCCCAGUGCUCGGAGACAGAGGCAGGCAUAUCUCUGAGAGUUUGAGGCCAGCCUGGUCUACAAAGUGAGUCCAGGACAGCUAGUGCUGUCUGGAAAAAAAUUCUGUCUGGAAAAAAAAAUUGAGAGAGAGAGAGAAGACAGGAGAUAGAGGAUGGAAGUCAAAGGGGUGAAGGGGAAGGGAACAGUGGAGAGGGGGCAGGGAUAUUUGUCCUGAGGAGGCCAAAGGACUGUUUCUGAAUAGAGAGGAAACAGACAUGGCCCAUAGGCAAAUGGCAGCUUAUAAAGGUAAAAGAGGAAACCCUAUGUUAGGAUGAGGUGUUUAAUUUUAAUUGGGCAUGUUAAAGUCCAGCUUUUGAUUGCUGGACUUUAGUACCUUCCGAGCUGGAUCUUGGUAGUCAGGCUCAGGAGGAGGAAGUAACCAAGUAAGGGAAUAGACCAUGGGUCUAGUUUUAGGAAUGUAAUCUCACGGUUUUUAGAAAGGUAGAGGGAAUGGGAGAGAAGGACAAGGCCUGCCAGAGGCAUGCUUGCCAUGCUCAGGCUGGCUAGAGUCCCUUGAAGAACUUGUCUCCAAAAUCUAAAAACCAAAACAAACACAAAUACAGCAGCCCCCAGUUUGAAUGGUGAAAGGUUUCAUUUUCUCACUAAGACCGAGAGCAGAGAAAUAUGAUAAUCACAUUUGAGAUGAGUUGAAUUUUUUAUUCUCUAAAAUGACAUAUUGAAAGCCAGGUGGUGGUGGCACAUGGUUUUAAUCCCAGCAGUGAGGAGGCAGAGGAAGGCAGAUCUCUGAGUUUGAGGGCAGCCUAGUCUACAUAGCGAAUUCCAGGAUAGUUUGACCCUACCUCAACAAAACUGGUAAUCAUGUUGAGUACAUGAUGGAUCACACCUGUACUCCCAGCCCUUGGCGAUAGAGGCGGGGAGACUAGGAGUUCAUACUUUUCUUUGGCUACAUGGUGUGUUCAGGUUGGUCUACAUGAGACCUUGUCUAAAAACAAAAAAUCGGUGUGUUACAAAUACUCUAUAAUUUUACUUCACUUAUAUCUAGAAAAGUCAAGUUCAUAGAGACAAAGCAGAAUUGGGUGUCAAGGAAAAGCAUAUGAGUUAUUUAAUGGGCAUCUUCAUAUCCAUUCUGUUUGGGAAAGUGAAGAUAGAAAAAAGGGUAAUGGUGGUAGUUAUUAGGUCAAUAUACUUAAAGGCACUAAAUCUGUUCUUUAAAAAUUUUAAAUGAGGUAGGUGUGGUGGAAUAUACCUUAUUCCCAGGAGUUAGGAGACAGGCAGGAGAAUCAAGAGUUAGAGGCCAUGCUGGCCUACAGAAUAAGGACCUGUGUCAAAAACAAAACAAAAAUCCCCAGAAAGACUCGGUGUAGAUCAGUGGUAGAACCUUCGCCUCUAUGCUCAAGGACCUGAGCUCAGUCCCUAGACUCCUGCUGCCAAAAAGUGGUGAGCCGAAGCAGAGACAGACAAGCACACUGAAGAAACCAGCUGUGCACUAUGGACAUGCCUUCAGUCACAGCACUAAGGAAAGCAGAGGACGGCAGAUCUCUGAAUUUGUAAUCCAGCCUGGUCUACAGAGCAAAUGCCACCAUAGCCAGGACUACACCAAGAAACCACGUCUUGAAAACCGAAAGUAGAAACCAGCUGAGCUACUUAGAAGAGCUCAAAGCAACUGAGGCAACUCUCCAACCUGCUGAGCUGCCUUCAGGCUGUGCAGUGUGCUCCAGGUUCCCAGCUUUUUUGGGGAGCUGUCACCUGUGCUGGGGUGGGCUUUGGCUUCACAGUUGUAACCCCUCACCCAUAUUCCUGUAAGUAACUCCAAUAAAGUGCAGUUUCAUCAAGUUG